AGGGAAGGCAUAGGACGGUGGGGAAGUAGUUGGCGCUGUAGUAAGCUCAUGACUCUGCUCCCCAUCUCCUAUGUGGAUGACACCAACAUCGUCUGGAAGCUGAACAGCCUGAAAUGGGGAUUCCUUUGAAACAUGAGACUGUUCCUCAGUGAGUUGAGUUGCCAUCUGCCCCAACUAAUUGCUCAAACUCUGAAAUGAAGCUAUAAUUUCCUGCUGAAACUCCUGAAACUGC
rnacentral:lncRNA from 1 species